UUUGAGAUUGAAGCAAAUCAAGGUAAAAGAUGUAAAGUCUACAUUUAACAUAAGACACAACAACUUUUUUCCAUAAGAAAUGUCUACCAUUAACAUAAGAGAAAUCAAAGAAAAAUAGACUUUCUGGAAAUCUAAAUUGUUCUUGAGAUUGAACCAAACCAAGGUAAAAGAUGCAAUGUCUACAUUUAACAUAAGACACAACUAAUUUUUCAUUAGAAACGUCUCCCAUUAACAUAAGAGAAAUCAAAGAAAAGUAGACUUUCUGGAAAUCUAAAUUGUUCUUGAGAUUGAACCAACCCAAGGUAAAAGAUGCACAGUCUAUAUUUAACAUAAGACACAUCUACUAUUUUCAUUAGAAACAUCUACCAUUAACAUAAGAGAAAUCAAAGAAAAGUAGACUUUCUGGAUAAUUAAAUUGUUCUUGAGAUCGAAGCAAAUUAACCAAGGUAAAAAUGCAAACUCUAGCCGACGAUGGCUCGUCGGCUAAGAUCUUAGCCGAUGAAUUAAGCUAACAGGCCGACAAAAAUUUUUCGUCGGCUAAAGUGCUUGUCCUGGUAGUGCAGGUUAUAUUUGUCACACCCCGAAUUUUGGAUAAAUAAAAAAAAAAUUCCAAAUUCAAGGCAUGAUAACCAAAAAGCAUAAAAAUCAAUACAACAAUUUAUUUUUACAACUUGUGGAAAAUAAUUUGAACCAAAUAAAACCUCCCUCAAACUCACUGCAAACUAGAAAGUAAACAAAAUGAACUAUGCCUAUCUGCCGCAGCCUCAACUCCACUAAACCUGAGCUGCAAAAACAACCUCUACACCAUGAAUUGGUGCACCGGGUUGUAAACAACAAACUCGGUAAGCUUUAAAAGCUCGUAUGAGUAAAUCUACAAAAAUGACUCAAUCCAACAACACAUGAAUAAAACUGGGAGUUCAUGCAUUAAAAUGAAUUCAGGAAAAC
rnacentral:lncRNA from 1 species